GAAAUGCGAUACGUAAUGUGAAUUGCAGAAUUCAGUGAAUCAUCGAAUCUUUGAACGCACCUUGCGCCCUUUGGUAUUCCGAGGGGCACACCCGUUUGAGUGUCGUGACAUUCUCAAACCUUCUCGGUUUCUUGACCGGGGAAGGCUUUGGACUUUGGAGGCUUUUGCUGACCUUCCUUUGUUGGAACCAGCUCCUCUGAAAUGAAUUAGUAGGGUCUACUUUGCCGAUCCUUGACGUGAUAAAAUGUUUUCUACGUCUCGGGUUUCGCACUGUUUUGUCCUGGAUCUUGCUUCUAACCGUCUCUCAGAAGACAGAUGGUCGAGUGAUCGUCACUCGACCCACGAACCUUGACCUCAAAUCGGGUGAGACUACCCGCUGAACUUAA
rnacentral:rRNA from 1 species